AGUGAACGCUGGCGGUAGGCCUAACACAUGCCAGUCGAACGGCAGCACAGUAAGAGCUUGCUCUUACGGGUGGCGAGUGGCGGACGGGUGAGGAAUACAUCGGAAUCUACUUUUUCGUGGGGGAUAACGUAGGGAAACUUACGCUAAUACCGCAUACGACCUACGGGUGAAAGCAGGGGAUCUUCGGACCUUGCGCGAUUGAAUGAGCCGAUGUCGGAUUAGCUAGUUGGCGGGGUAAAGGCCCACCAAGGCGACGAUCCGUAGCUGGUCUGAGAGGAUGAUCAGCCACACUGGAACUGAGACACGGUCCAGACUCCUACGGGAGGCAGCAGUGGGGAAUAUUGGACAAUGGGCGCAAGCCUGAUCCAGCCAUACCGCGUGGGUGAAGAAGGCCUUCGGGCUGUAAAGCCCUUUUGUUGGGAAAGAAAAGCAGCAGGUUAAUACCCCGCUGUUCUGACGGUACCCAAAGAAUAAGCACCGGCUAACUUCGU
rnacentral:rRNA from 1 species